AUUUCCAUGACUACACUUUGUCACAUCCUCUAGAGAUUUUCAUACUUCUACUUGUCUACACACACAAACACAUAUAUAUCAAAGCUCAAUCUGCCACUUUGAGAAUCUCAAUGAGGAUGCCAUUCAAAUUCAGCAACUAGCUUCUAAACAAGAUGCACAGUUGCACCGGGCUGGGGUAUGCAUAUGGCUAGUGAGCUUCCUGGUGCAGGCACAUCAGUGUUUCCAAUAACUCGAGUGAGUGCUGAAACCAUGGACGACAUGUCUUGUUGGGAUCUAGCUGAGUAGACAGGAAAGAUGUUAUUGUGUUCUUCUUCUUCUUCUUUUUUCUCUGAUGAAUCAUCAGAUGAAAGGGGCCUCUUCCCAUACCUGUUUGGAUCCACUUUAUGACCUUAAUUUCUUACAAACUUUUAUAUAGUUAUAAAUAUAUACUUAAUAUAUGAAUUUGUAAAAGUAGUUUACUUCA